rnacentral:rRNA from 1 species
AUUGAACGCUGGCUUCAGGCCUAACACAUGCAAGUCGAACGAGUGGCGGACGGGUGAGUAAUGUCUGGGAAACUGCCCGAUGGAGGGGGAUAACUACUGGAAACGGUAGCUAAUACCGCCUACCAUCGGAUGUGCCCAGAUGGGAUUAGCUAGUAGGGGGGGUAACGGCUCACCUAGGCGCCGAUCCCUAGCUGGUCUGAGAGGAUGACCAGCCACACUGUAACUGAGACACGGUCCAGACUCCUACGGGAGGCAGCAGGGGGGAAUAUGGCACAAUGGGCGCAAGCCGGAUGCAGCCAUGCCGGGUGUAUGAAGAAGGCCUUCGGGUUGUAAAGUACUUUCAGCGAGGAGGCGUUAAGCGCAGAAGAAGCACCGGCUAGCUCCGUGCCUGCAGCCGCGGUAAUAC